AUUCCAUACACAACAAUACACCUACCCACUCUGCACGUUUUAUUUCUUCUUCCUUGUGUUUGAAUCCCAACAUCUUCUUCAGCGAUAAAUCAACAAAAAGAACGCAACAAAUAGCUGUAGGCCCGACUCAUCUACUCCGAACGGCGCAACAAUGUCCUCCAUAUGCGUGGUCUCUUUUUUUGUUCCUCAAUAGUAUGAUUUGUACGAGAAACAGAACCAAAUGGAGAAAUCUCGGCGCUUCACUCGUACUGGCGUCAUAAUCAACAGAUACCAUUCUCAAGUCAUUGAGAAUUGGUACUAGUCCAGCUGCGCCAUCCUCUUUUUCUGUGGACCCAUCACCUUCGCUGUCCCUAGUUCAUCUUUUCGGGGAUAUCCCACCCCUUUCUCACUUUUGCUUCGAAAAGAGCAUUUCAAAUUCACAUUUCAACACUUGUUACCCUCAUUCGACCAUAGUUUUUCUUUCUAUAUAAAUCUUUCAUCCCUCACUAUUUUAAGGAGGAUUUCCAUUUGAUAAUACAUGCCUAAAACAACUUCAAAAGUUUAGGGUCAAGAGUUCAAAAAAGAAUAUAAUUUUAACUUUUUCGAGUUCAUCGGAAUCUAGUGAAGUCAGAUUCAGUGUUAAGCUCUUCGAGCCUCAAUAGCUGCCCUGAAAAAGAUUAUUCGAGAAUGCAUAAGUGAUAUCUUGGUCAUUGUUUGGAUUUGUCUCCAUAAGGUUUGUCGUAAUUCCCUUUUAAAAUGGUUUACAUUUUUUAAGUUAUGUUGUUUAGAUAAAGAGAACUAGGAGUGGGAAUUGGAUUUCCAUCUAGGUUCUUUUUUAUCAUAAUUUGUUCAUCACUUUCUUUUCAAACAUUUAAAGUAGCAUGUUGUCCUCCUCUCUUGGCUCUUAUUUAAAAUUCAGUGUGUGCAUAUUUUAGUCUUAAUGUGUGUCUCUUUAAAAUUUUACUCAUAGAUUUGACUUGAAAGUUAGAUUCUUAUUUUUAAGUUGUUGGGAUCAUGUUAUUUUUAAAGAUGUUUUAUCUAAGUGUGUGAAAGAAUUCUUUCCGUUUCAAUUCUCUAAAUGAUUGAGCAUGAGAUGUGUAUUAAUUUUUCAAGAAGAAACUAUUGAAAGGAUUGUAUAAAGAUCACCUGCAGAGCAUUACUGAUGCUUUUGAUGCCUAUGUUCUCUGUUAAUACUUGUAGUCUUGAAUAAGUUGUAUCACAAUUAUCUCUAAUUGAAUGCAUACUUAUAUAUACAAAUUGUUAAAAUCCUUCACUUAUUCCUUUUCCCUUUAUUUUUGAUACAUUUGACAACAAUCCAAGUCCAUUUUGGACUCUUUCCCUGCAUUUCAUUGAGUUGAGAUCCUUAUCGAGUGAAGCAAGAUACGGGAAAAAAUCAAAUGACAUAUUUUAGAGGUUUAAAUAGGCUGUAUAUAUUUGAUAGGCAGUCCAAUAUUCAGGAAAAUGAGUCAAGAUAUGACCAGUAUACAUCAGUAUACACUCUGUGUAUACACAGAUUUCAAAGGCAAAAAUGGGGUCAAAGCCCAAUACAAUUGCAGCAGCAGCCCAAUCAGUUGGGCUGUGAGGGUUUGGGGCCAAGAAAAGCCCAAACUCAUUAUUUUCUUUCAUUGCUUGAUUACAUUUUACUUGCAAAUUGUUUGGUUCGGUUAACUCUAACGUUUGUUUUGUUUUAGUUUAACCAAAUUAAAUUCCCCAAAAGAUGAACUAUAAUCUUUAUGUUAGUUUAUUUUGACAAAAUUCAUUAUUUUUAUUUAAUAUCUUUAAAAUGGGUUUCAUACUUUAAAUAACUGAAUUGGUUCAAAUUGUUAUUUAAAAACAUAUCAAAUAAAUUUUAAUUUAUCUAAUUUAGUAAAAUCUAAAUCGCUUGAAAUUUAUUACAAAUAUUUCAAUUAAUAUCCUCUUUUAUUGAAAAAAUUUAAAAAUAUUCUUUGUUUAACUAUUUCCUCGAGUUAAUUACUUUUCUAAAAAAUAGUCAAAUGUUUAACCUAUGUUAUUGGAUAACAGCAUAUUAGCGGACACUUCAAAUGUCUUAAAAACCUUCUUGAAGCGUAAAUAAGAACCUCUUACCCAUUUUCUCUAAAUUUAUAAAGAUUUAAUCCGUUAAACUCUUUUUAAAUUAAGUUUUCUUAAUUUCUUUAAAAAAUUAAAUGGCGACUCUUUUCUAAGUAUUUUUCUUAAAUUGUUUUAUACUUAAAACAUUUCAAAAGUGAUUUUUCUAAAAAAGUAAAAUUACGGCAUAAUAGUUAUAGCUUGUUAAGAGUUGCUAUAGUUGAAUGGAGUCCUCUUGUGGAAUGAUAGGUUUUUUAUUGUUAUGUAUGGUGAUAGAAAAAUGUAAAUAUAUAGGCUUGAAAGGUUUUGGAGAAAAUGUAGUAAAUAGUGAAAGACGAAUGUUGCCUUGUUAUAUAUGUAGUAUUUCAUAGUUGUCCUUGUGUAGAUUGGAGUCUUUGUAUAGGCUUAAUCCUAAAAAGGGAAGGUAGUGUGCUUACCUUGUAAGAUGAUUAUUAAAUAUGCUAGUUAAUGAAAGAAUCCUUAUGACUGGUUGAUGAGUCCAUGUAUGAACCUAUUCUAAGAGUGGGGAAAAGGGGAAGAAAGGGUUUUAUUCCAUAAGUGGGGAUUAUGUUUUACUCUGAAGUUGAUUUAGAGGGAUGUAUGACAAAUAUCUACACACAUGUUUUGUAUGGAUUGGAACACAAACAUAUGAAAUUUAUGACUAUUUUUUUGACUUAUCUAACGUCUUAAAUCUAAAGAUAACCUAUCAAGUAUCAAUUGAUCACACUUUUUGAUAAAAUCAAAUGAACUAUUUUAUCAAAUGUGCUAAUAGAACUUGUGUUUCCAUCAAUACAUUGAAAAGCUCCGUGAAGACCUAAUCUCCCCUCCCAGAAAAAGGGAAAAAAACAAGAAGGAACAAAAUGCAAAAAAGUCGAAGUUCAUACAAUAAUUUUGACCAUGAGAAGAACAAUAGAAAAGUGUGACACAACAAGGAGCAUAACUGAAUAUUGAUCGUAGAACGAUCUUUUAGAUUUAGUAUACUAUAAUACUUCACUUUUUUUUAAAAAAACGAACCCCCGAGUCAUUACUUAUUGACCUCAUAAUCAAGCUGAAUCACAAAUUAUAAUUUUUUUUAAUUUGUUGGUGAUAUACUUAUUGUAGAAUUAUAUUCAACCUCUAUGAAAAGUCAAACAUAAUGAUUUCAUAUGUCCAUGAAACCAGUCAUGAUAGGAGGGGCUGAGUUUUGAUUGUCAUGCUAAUAUGAUUGAUUCUCCUGAACAAAAACUUUGAUAUCACAAGUGAGCGUAAAUAUACAUAUUUAAUAAUUUUUUAUCAUCGAAAGAAAACACAACUUUGCAGUUCCACUUAGUAAUGAAAAUUACAUAUAAAAUAUCUUAUGAAUUAAAUAGUUCUCUAGUUAAUUGACUUUAUUCCACAUAGGGGACAAUACAUUGUUCCAGUAGAUCGUACAACAAAAAGUAUAAAAGGCUCAUGCGUAAUAUUAGGCAUUUACAAAAGUGAUUAAAGUUAACUUUAGAUGCUUGCCCUACAAUCUUAUGUAUGAAAAAGUUAAUAAUAGAUAAAUGGACAUCAUGUUGUACAACAGAAUAAAUGAAUCAAUCAAAAAGAAUUCACGAAAACAAUAAGGAAGAAACAUUUGUUGGAUUACUUCCUGGAAGAAACUUUUGGAUUAGCUGGCUGGUUUAACUUCGUAUUACUGCUACUGCUCGUUGUUGAGAAAAUCUACUAUGAGCUGCUCUCUUAUCCUUUCUCUUUGGUAUGUAACUAGGGAUUUUUAAAAAAAAAGUGACAUUAAGGUUUCAAAAUAAAUGGCUGGUGACAUUAGUCUUAAGUAUUGGGUGUAGGUGAUAAUUAUGUGAUUAAUGAUUAAGGAUUGUGGAGUUGUCCUCAAGUUUAUAAGUUGACAGUUUGGUCCACUGAAUUAAAUGAAGGGUAAAAGGGUAAUUUUACAAUAUCCUAAUUUAACCUACUUUUGUUGGGAAUUAAAUGAGGGAUAAAAUGAUAAAUUGACUAUACCAAACCUAAUUUAACCAAUUUUGGUGGGAAAUAUCUAGCCAAAAGAGGAAAUAAAAGCUUUGUUCCCCGCCUCCAUCCGUCGUAUUCGUCCUCUUCUUCUUCUUCUACUCUCGUCUUUGCUUGCUUGCUUGCCUUUCUUCCUGCUCUCUUCAUUUUCCUCUUCUUCUUCUUCUUCUUAUUUUCGUACAUUGCGGGUCUUCGCUGUUAGUGCUUGUGCUUUCUUCUUCUUGAAUCAGUGUUUUACCUAAUCUGUAACUGGUGGACCAAAUUUCAAUUUAUUUCAAUCGGAAUUACUUCAUAAGUGACUGGGUUAUACACCAUUGUUUCUGGUACAAUGUAAGUAUUUGUAGAGAUUGAUUGUCGUGGUGAAUGGGUCGAGAAGACAAAUUGAUUCAUAUGGCGUUGGCAGGAUAGUAAAAAACGAAGAGCCGGUUUAGUAGGGAUGUAUGUCGAAAGAAAGAUUUUGUAUGAUGAGUUCCUUAAUAUAGUCGUGGAAAAGUCUAGAUUCAAUUGUAAACCGCAAGAUCUUUUCAUGAGUUACAUUUUCCAUUUUUUCUUUCAUAAUGAGAAGGUUUUACCUUUUAGAAUAACUAAUCAAUCUAGUUUGAGUGUUUA